GACGAACGCUGGCGGCGUGCCUUAGACAUGCAAGUCGAACGGAGUAGCAAUACUCAGUGGCGAACGGCGGAGUAAUGCAUAAGCAACGUGCCCCAAAGACUGGGAUAGUCGAGGGAAACCACGGGUAAUACCAGAUGUGGUCCUUAGAUGGCAUCAUCGAGGGAUUAAAUCGAGCAAUCGGCUUUGGGAGCGGCUUAUGUCCUAUCAGCUUGUUGGUGAGGUAACGGCUCACCAAGGCUACGACGGGUAGGGGGUCUGAGAGGAUGAUCCCCCCGAGUGGGACUGCGACACGGCCCACACACCUACGGGUGGCAGCAGUUUGGAAUAUUGCACAAUGGGGGAAACCCUGAUGCAGCGACGCCGCGUGGAGGACGAAGGAUCUAGGUCUGUAAACUCCUUUUGCCAGGAAAGACUUAGGACGGUACCUGGCGAAUAAGCCCCGGCUAACUACGUGCCAGCAGCCGCGGUAAGACGUAGGGGGCGAGCGUUGUCCGGAUUUACUGGGCGUAAAGAGCGCGUAGGCGGCUAGUUAAGUGAGAAGUGAAAUCUCCAGGGCUCAACCCGGAAACUGCUUUUCAUACUGGCCAGCUGGAGGGACGCAGGGGUGACUGGAAUUCCCGGUGUAGCGGUGAAAUGCAUUGAUAUCGGGAGGAACUCCAACAGCGAAGGCAGGUCACUGGGCGUUUCCUGACGCUGAGGCGCGAAAGCGUGGGGUAGCAAACAGGAUUAGAUACCCUGGGUAGUCCACGCCCUAAACGAUGGAUACUAGACGUAAGAGGUAUCGACCCCUCUUGUGUCGCAGCUAACGCAUUAAGUAUCCCGCCUGGGGAGUACGGCCGCAAGGUUGAAACUCAAAUGAAUUGACGGGGACCCGCACAAGCGGUGGAGCAUGUGGAUUAAUUCGAUACUAACCGAAGAACCUUACCCAGGUUUGACAUCGAUGGUAAGCCCGAGAGAUCGGGCCCUCUCUCACAAGGAGACCUGAAGACAGAUGUUGCAUGGCUGUCGUCAGCUCGUGCCGUGAGGUGUACGGUUAAGUCCGCCAACGAGCGCAACCCUCGUCCUAUGUUGCCAGCGAGUAAUGUCGGGAACUCAUAGGAGACCGCCGGUGUAAGCCGGAGGAAGGUGGGGAUGAUGUCAAGUCAGCAUGGCUCUUACGCCUGGGGCUUCACACAUGCUACAAUGGGCGCAACAAAGGGCACCGAAGCCGUGAGGUGGAGGCAAUCCCAAAAAUACGCCCCCAGUUCAGAUUGCAGUCUGCAACUCGACUGCAUGAAGGCGGAAUCGCUAGUAAACGCAGGUCAGCUAUACUGCGUUGAAUACGUUCCCGGGUCUUGUACACACCGCCCGUCAAGUCACCUGAAUUGUCUUCACCCGAAGUCCGUGGCCUAACCGUAAGGAGGGAGCGGCCGAAGGUGAGGGGAGUAAGGGGGACUAAGUCGUAACAAAUCACU
rnacentral:rRNA from 1 species